GUGGAUUAGAUACCCGGGUAGUCCACGCCGUAAACGUUGGGCACUAGGUGUGGGUCUCAACCAACGAGAUCCGCGCCGUCGCUAACGCAUUAAGUGCCCCGCCUGGGGAGUACGGCCGCAAGGCUAAAACUCAAAGGAAUUGACGGGGGCCCGCACAAGCAGCGGAGCGUGUUGCUUAAUUCGAUGUUACGCGAAGAACCUUACCUGGGUUUGACAUGUAGGGAAAAGCUCUAGAGAUAGGGUGUCCGCAAGGGCUCUACACAGGUGGUGCACGGCCGUCGACAGCU
rnacentral:rRNA from 1 species